GGAGCUCGGCCCGGGCUGUUCGCUGGGCCGGGAGGCGGCAGCGCCCCCGGGCCCCCCUAGUUCGGACUAUUCAUUCAAGUUCCUGGGGCCCUGCGCCCGAUUCGGAGGUGGCACCCGCCGCCCUCCCUGCCUCUGUGCCCCCGUUUCCAGCCACCGCGCGGAAAUUUAGGUCAAGGACGCCGGGAGCACACCCACACCCUGCGCUCCCAGGGCAGUCCUCGAGAACCCCGGGAUCUGGGGGGCUUGCGGAUGGAGGAGACCCUCCUGCACGAACACCAGCCACAAGUUUUAUUUUCCCUUCGCGCGGCAAGUUCUCUGGCUCCCGCUCCACACUGGCACGUCCUGCACGGCUCCCCGCCCUUCCCCGCCAGAGGAUUAGGAGACAAUGGAAUUCACUCAUCACCAAAACUAUGCCGUGUCCAUUGUGGGUUUGGAGACAUUUGGAAAAAUCUCAACACAGCCAAAGCUUUUGAGUGGUCAGACUGUCAAUCUCUCUGUCCCCUAAACUGGGGUAGUGCCUCUCUGACAGCAUGGAUGGGCGGAGCAUUUGUAGUGAACAAUGUAACAAUGUCAAAGUCCCUUUUUAAAAUUGUGUACUUACAUGGACUGUGUUUAUUAUAAAUUGUGAAUAUGAUUUUUAGAAGGCACUUCAUAAGACUUCAGACCACAAACCCUGCUGUUUCCCAACACUCCAAACAAACUGAUUUUUGAAUCAUCUGGGUUCCCAUGUGUUAAAGAGCUGCAUGUUUUUAUGAUGGUAAUUGUUUUUUUGCGAUUAUUCUCAAUCACAAAGUACAGGCAACACAGCUAAUUGGAUUAUAUUUUGGAUUUUUACCGCAGAACCACAGAUCAUCAGAGCUAGAAAGGCCUUUCUUUACCCGGCUCCUUCCUUGAAUAUGGGAGUCCCAAAGGUGCCAGGCUGUCAGGCCGCCUUCCCACCCCAACCAGUUAAUACCUAAAAGGGGCUCUGGCCAUGGUUCAGUGCCCUUUGACUCUGUAGUGUGCUGUUUGUUGUUCCUCGAUAGGCAGAAGUCAGUGGCUACCUUCCUGAUGGAGACUUGAACAAACUGUUAAGUGGUGAGCUGGGAGGAGACCUGAUGGGGCGGGGCCCCGAGCACUGCAGUGUCCAAGCCAGAGACUGAUAAAGGACUAAAGGAGAAGGCUACUACGUCACUGCACUGUUUUUCUUAAGGUUGGUAUUGUUGGAGUUGGAGUCUUGCAAUGCAAGAACCCAGACAGGCCUUGAACUGGAGAGAGCAUCCUGACACUGGCCACACCACCACCACCACCAAGUUUUAUUUUUCCUUCGCAGAUUGUGUUGUUUUGUUGAGAUGGUGUCUCAUGCGGCCCAGGCUGAUGGUGAACUCCAUAGAUUGCGGAGGAUCACGGCCUUGAACUUCUGACAUUCUUGCCUCUGCUGUUGCAAUUGUAGCUUGGGGCCACCGUGCCAGGUUUGCAGUGCUGGAGAUCAACCCCUAGGCUCCCAGUGUCGCAGGGAAGCUUCCACCAACUGAGCCACACACCCAGCCUUCAGGAGGUUGUUUUGCUUGUCCCAUCUCACUGCACUCACCACAUACCUAGGUGGCAACACUCUGCUACAGGCCUUCUUCCCCUGCUCCCUGGUUCUGAGAUUUGACCGAUGUACAGAUUGUAGGGUGACCAUCAAGAUAAACAUGUGGGACAGUUUCAUUGUCCAAAGCAAACACACACACACACACACACAAAAAAAAACCCUCCCCCUACCGCCCUUUGCACUAGGAUUAGUAAGGGUUGAUGAUUCAGUGUUUCUUCUCCAGCUCGCUCAGCUCACUCGCUCGCUCAGGGUACCAGUGGUGGUGCUGUAUAACUCACACUGCCUUGAGGACUCGCCCCCACCCCCACCCCAUUCUGCUCUUGCCCACGCUCUCCUGGGCUCUCUGGCCCCUGGCCACUUUUCCUUUUCUAUCUCUGGGUCCUCCCUUCGUCUCUACUUUUCCUUUAAACAUUGGUGUGCUUCCUCUGCCUGAUGCUCUCCUCCAGCUACCCCCUCUCUGGAUGACCUUCCUAGCAGGAUGAGUUUAAAUACCACCCACAUGCUGAUGCUGCUCCAAAUCUCCUCCGGCCCUGACCUUGCCCGAGUUCCAGGCUCUGCACAGUAUCCUUUCUCUAUACAUCUCUGUUUACAUUUCCUAGAGGUAUUCCGGAUGUGGACGCAACACUGCCAAAGCCACACACAUACUAUUCUCCCCUACAUUUGAACCUCUUUUUGGAAUCUUCAUCAGUGAAGAGCCUUAGCCAGCCUGGAGGCAAUGUGGCUGAACUCUGCCCUUACCGUGUGCAACUCUGUAGAAUCCACCUUGAAAAUUUUGCUCAAAACUGUCUUAUUAUUAUUUCUCAAUUUAAAUUUAUUACAUUUUAAAAGUUUUAUUUCCAUGGUAUGUGUGUGCAUGUGUGAUCAUAGGACAGCUUUCAGGAAUCUGUUCUCGCUUUCUCCUAGGUUGCAGAGGUUGAAUUUAGCUAGUCAGGGUCAGGCUUCAUCAGCAAAAAUGUAUACCCAAUGGACCAUCAAAGCCUUCUCUCCUGCUACAGUAUAUCAGACCUCUUGCACCUGAGGCCAGGGGAUGGUCUCCCACAGCUACCCACGAGGACUCUUAGUCCAUUUAUAUGCCUGGGAAGCUUUCCCACACUUUUCUAACCAGGUCAGAUGGCUCUCAAUAGACACUUAACCCACGGGAAGGUCCUCCGUGUACCUUACCUUGUGUGACCAUUUGCUUUAUCAUCCGUCACUGCCAAGCCACGAGCUCCCGUCCAGUUUGCUCUCCUUGUACCCAGUACAGUACCUGCUAGUUCAUGGCUGACGAUAAAUAAUUUUGGUGGUAGACAGAUUGAUAAAUGGGUGAAUGCUGCUGUCCAAUUUCACCCUAGGAUCUGUUUUGUGUGGUCAUGUGCAGAAGUCAAACUGACUGCAGUUUCCCCUUAAUGGUGUUAGCCCUUUAUAUUGGUCUCCUAACAUAGAAAAUGUUAUUUGCAUUCUUCUUUUUCUUUUUUCUUUUCUUUUCCUUUUUUUUUUCCUUUUCCACUUUCUGGAACAGUAUGUUAAAGACUAUUAAUUAGGCCUGGACUGAUGAUACACACCAGCAAUUGGGAGGCAGAGGCAGGAGGAUCACUGUAAGUUCAGGGUUAGCCUUGUCUGCCUAGUAAGUCCCAGAGCAGAAAAGAAUACAUAAUAAAACCCUGUCUC
rnacentral:lncRNA from 1 species